CGAGAGCUAGUUUAUAAAGAACAUCUGAUUUGCAUUCAGAAAGUGAACCUCUUCGCUCUCCU
rnacentral:tRNA from 1 species